UUAACUCAAAUUUGCCUGGAGUUCCAACGUUUGCCUCCGUCUGCCGCUAAGGGCGCUGUUCCAACUGCAUACAAAUUUGAAUUG
rnacentral:pre_miRNA from 1 species